GGAAAAGGGCAUGUGGUAUGAAAAUACUCAUAGAAUAACUUCUUCAUGGUCACAGAUGAGUUUAGAUUUGAAAGAGGCUCUUUGAGAUCUUAGAUCAAGGUCAUCUGUGAUGAAUUUUGUAGACUGGUCGUAUACCUUGACCAUUCAUGGAAGAGACUCCUAUCUGAUAAGCUCGCCAGCUGCUGGGAUGGUCUGCUCCCCUCCAAUGCUGGGUAUGAAUGCCUACACCUCCAUGAACCGCACCACCAGGCGACUGCAUCACUCUCCCAGCAUAGUUUCCUUCAGGAAGUCACAGCUUUGGAGUGUGGAAGCUGGUGCGUUUCCAUCAGGUGUACAGCACUGGUGUUGCAGCCUGUGGAACCUGUCAUU
rnacentral:lncRNA from 1 species